rnacentral:rRNA from 1 species
AUGGGCGUGCGCUCAAAGGAUACAAACAUGGAUUCACAAACAAAAAGGGGAAUCAUAUCACUUUUUCCUGUCGCAUAAAAAAAGUCUUUACGCGAGAGCAAUAGAGGUUGGGAUACAUCUAUCUCUUCUGAGCAACCUCUUUUGGAUUCUCAAGACCACCCUUGCAGUAGGAUACCAUCUACUUUGGUUCUUUAUUAUCUCCUUCGAGGGAUUUUUAGGAUCGUUCAGGGUAUAUAUAUUUAG